UACGUAGGGUGCAAGCGUUGUCCGGAAUUAUUGGGCGUAAAGAGCUCGUAGGCGGUUCGUCGCGUCGGCUGUGAAAACUCGGGGCUCAACCCCGAGCCUGCAGUCGAUACGGGCAGACUAGAGUGCUGUAGGGGAGACUGGAAUUCCUGGUGUAGCGGUGAAAUGCGCAGAUAUCAGGAGGAACACCGGUGGCGAAGGCGGGUCUCUGGGCAGUAACUGACGCUGAGGAGCGAAAGCGUGGGGAGCGAACAGG
rnacentral:rRNA from 1 species